GUACCAGACUCCUACGGGAGGCAGCAGUGGGGAAUAUUGGGCAAUGGGCGCAAGCCUGACCCAGCAACGCCGCGUGAAGGAAGAAGGCUUUCGGGUUGUAAACUUCUUUUAAGGGGGACGAACAAAUGACGGUACCCCUUGAAUAAGCCACGGCUAACUACGUGCCAGCAGCCGCGGUAAUACGUAGGUGGCAAGCGUUGUCCGGAUUUACUGGGUGUAAAGGGCGUGCAGCCGGAGAGACAAGUCAGAUGUGAAAUCCACGGGCUCAACCCGUGAACUGCAUUUGAAACUGUUUCCCUUGAGUGUCGGAGAGGUAAUCGGAAUUCCUUGUGUAGCGGUGAGAUGCGUAGAUAUAAGGAAGAACACCAGUGGCGAAGGCGGAUUACUGGACGAUAACUGACGGUGAGGCGCGAAAGCGUGGGGAGCAAACAGGAUUAGAUACCCUAGUA
rnacentral:rRNA from 1 species